CCUACGGGAGGCAGCAGUGAGGAAUAUUGGUCAAUGGACGAGAGUCUGAACCAGCCAAGUAGCGUGAAGGAUGACUGCCCUAUGGGUUGUAAACUUCUUUUAUAUGGGAAUAAAAUGUUCCACGUGUGGGAUUUUGUAUGUACCAUAUGAAUAAGGAUCGGCUAACUCCGUGCCAGCAGCCGCGGUCAUACGGAGGAUCCGAGCGUUAUCCGGAUUUAUUGGGUUUAAAGGGAGCGUAGGUGGAUUGUUAAGUCAGUUGUGAAAGUUUGCGGCUCAACCGUAAAAUUGCAGUUGAAACUGGCAGUCUUGAGGACAGUAGAGGUGGGCGGAAUUCGUGGUGUAGCGGUGAAAUGCUUAGAUAUCACGAAGAACUCCGAUUGCGAAGGCAGUUCACUGGACUGCAACUGACACUGAGGCUCGAAAGUGUGGGUAUCAAACAGGAUUAGAUACCCUAGUAGUC
rnacentral:rRNA from 1 species